AUAGAGGCGCGAAGCUUAUCAGUAUCUUGGCAGAGCCGUUCAGGCGGCAAGGAAGCCAGGGGAAAGGGAGUUUCGCCGAAGCGGGGGUUCACCUGGAAGGGCCUUUGCUGGGCGGACGGAGAAGAUCCGGCCGACUGUCACAAUCUUGGAUUGUGGAGCGCUAUUGG
rnacentral:ncRNA from 1 species